UACAGAGGGGGCGAGCGUUGUUCGGAAUUACUGGGCGUAAAGGGCGCGUAGGCGGCCCGCUAAGUCGAACGUGAAAUCCCCAGGCUCAACCUGGGAACUGCGUCCGAUACUGGCAGGCUUGAAUCCGGGAGAGGGAUGUGGAAUUCCAGGUGUAGCGGUGAAAUGCGUAGAUAUCUGGAGGAACACCGGUGGCGAAGGCGGCAUCCUGGACCGGUAUUGACGCUGAGGCGCGAAAGCGUGGGGGGCAAACAGG
rnacentral:rRNA from 1 species